rnacentral:tRNA from 1 species
GCUCUUCUGGUGGAAUAGGCAGACACGCAGGUUUUAGGCACCUGUGCUUCGGCGUAGGGGUUCGAGUCCCCUGGAGAGUA